GGGUCAGUAGGUUGGUCGUGCCACCGGUACGUACUGGUCUCACUGAUUCCUCCUUCCUGAAGAACCGUAAUGCCAUUAAUUUGGUGUUGCGGGGAAACAGGACUGUUACUUUGAAAAAAUUAGAGUGUUUAAAGCAAGCUAACGCUAGAAUACAUUAGCAUGGAAUAAUGAAAUAGGACGAUCGAUCCUAUUUUGUUAGUUUCUAGGAUUGACGUA
rnacentral:rRNA from 1 species